rnacentral:pre_miRNA from 1 species
CAGCUACUCCCUCCGUUCGGAAUUACUUGUCUCAGAAAUGGAUGUAUUUAGAACUAAAAUACGUCUAAAUACAUCCAUUUUUGCGACAAGUAAUUUCAAACGGAGGGAGUAUAUA